GAUGAACGCUGGCGGCGUGCCUAAUACAUGCAAGUCGAGCGAACGGACGAGAAGCUUGCUUCUCUGAUGUUAGCGGCGGACGGGUGAGUAACACGUGGAUAACCUACCUAUAAGACUGGGAUAACUUCGGGAAACCGGAGCUAAUACCGGAUAAUAUUAUGAACCGCAUGGUUCAAAAGUGAAAGACGGUCUUGCUGUCACUUAUAGAUGGAUCCGCGCUGCAUUAGCUAGUUGGUAAGGUAACGGCUUACCAAGGCAACGAUGCAUAGCCGACCUGAGAGGGUGAUCGGCCACACUGGAACUGAGACACGGUCCAGACUCCUACGGGAGGCAGCAGUAGGGAAUCUUCCGCAAUGGGCGAAAGCCUGACGGGGCAACGCCGCGUGAGUGAUGAAGGUCUUCGGAUCGUAAAACUCUGUUAUUAGGGAAGAACAUAUGUGUAAGUAACUGUGCACAUCUUGACGGUACCUAAUCAGAAAGCCACGGCUAACUACGUG
rnacentral:rRNA from 1 species